rnacentral:rRNA from 1 species
GACGAACGCUGGCGGCGUGCUUAACACAUGCAAGUCGAACGGUGAUGGAGGAGCUUGCUCCUCCGGAUCAGUGGCGAACGGGUGAGUAACACGUGAGCAAUCUGCCCUUGACUCUGGGAUAAGCGCUGGAAACGGCGUCUAAUACCGGAUACGAGCUUCGGAGGCAUCUCCAGGAGCUGGAAAGAACUUCGGUCAAGGAUGAGCUCGCGGCCUAUCAGCUAGUUGGUGAGGUAACGGCUCACCAAGGCGACGACGGGUAGCCGGCCUGAGAGGGUGACCGGCCACACUGGGACUGAGACACGGCCCAGACUCCUACGGGAGGCAGCAGUGGGGAAUAUUGCACAAUGGGCGCAAGCCUGAUGCAGCAACGCCGCGUGCGGGAUGACGGCCUUCGGGUUGUAAACCGCUUUUAGUAGGGAAGAAGCGAAAGUGACGGUACCUGCAGAAAAAGCAUCGGCUAACUACGUGCCAGCCGCCGCGGUAAUAC